rnacentral:rRNA from 1 species
UGGCGACCGGCGCACGGGUGAGUAACGCGUAUGCAACUUACCUAUCAGAGGGGGAUAGCCCGGCGAAAGUCGGAUUAAUACCCCAUGAAACAGGGGUCCCGCAUGGGAAUAUUUGUUAAAGAUUCAUCGCUGAUAGAUAGGCAUGCGUUCCAUUAGGCAGUUGGCGGGGUAACGGCCCACCAAACCGACGAUGGAUAGGGGUUCUGAGAGGAAGGUCCCCCACAUUGGUACUGAGACACGGACCAAACUCCUACGGGAGGCAGCAGUGAGGGAUAUUGGUCAAUGGCCGAGAGGCUGAACCAGCCAAGUCGCGUGAAGGAAGAAGGAUCUAUGGUUUGUAAACUUCUUUUAUAGGGGAAUAAAGUGGAGGACGUGUCCUUUUUUGUAUGUACCCUAUGAAUAAGCAUCGGCUAACUCCGUGCCAGCAGCCGCGGUAAUACGGAGGAUGCGAGCGUUAUCCGGAUUUAUUGGGUUUAAAGGGUGCGUAGGUGGUGAUUUAAGUCAGCGGUGAAAGUUUGUGGCUCAACCAUAAAAUUGCCGUUGAAACUGGGUUACUUGAGUGUGUUUGAGGUAGGCGGAAUGCGUGGUGUAGCGGUGAAAUGCAUAGAUAUCACGCAGAACUCCGAUUGCGAAGGCAGCUUACUAAACCAUAACUGACA